GUUUAACUGAAAAGAUAAACUUCAAAUGUUGGUAUAUGUAUAUGUGUUUAUUCAAAUUCUGGUAAACCAACUUGGAAUCGAGAAUGGGGCUAUUCCCAUAUAGCGAGUAUUCCUUAAAGAAAGCUCGUAAAUUAAAUUGGUUACAUUAUAAUGCUGGCCGAAAUUGAAUUCAAACAAAGGCAAAUGUAUUAUUGACAAGAGCCGUAUGGCAACAGUUAGUUAUUCUUCGACACUUCGACGACAAAGGAAUGGUUUUAAAAGGGAACUCUCGACUUCAGGCUGUAUUUUAACAUUGGUGUACUAUUUUCUUCGCCUACUGUUUAAAGGAUUCUGUACAAAGAACAAGAAAAAUUUCGAACGUUUCUCGAUAAUAUUCUGCUAUCCCGUUGUUUAUUUAUUACGGCUUGUUAACGCAAUUAAAUGGAGGCGAAUUUUCAGGCCGAGCAGAAUGAAGAAAUAUUUAAAGAGGAUUAUUAAUGUGCUAGCUUUCAAAACUUUAAAAAUAGCGAAACAGAAUGGUAAAUUAUGUAAGACUAGACUCUGGAAAGAUUUUCGAAUUUGGAAGCGCGGACGGACGAAAGAUUAUUCUCAUGGAAAGAGUUCAUAUAAAAUGGAAUUUGAUGUUAGAAAUGUAUAAUUAAUCGAGGUGACUGACGAUAGCUUAGCUUUCUAACCACCCCCGUCCCCCCAAUGUUGAAAGUGUUAGGGUACACACGUGACAAUCUCACAACUCGUCAACAAGAUGUGUUCGCAACAGGCUUGUAGAAAGCUUGUCAACAAAUUGUAAUAAUGCUAUUAUUUUAUCAAGUUGCUACAAGGUUGUCACUCAGAUCUUGCUGACAAAUUGUCGAAUUGCUGGACGGUAACAAGUUGCUGGAACAACUUGUAACAAGUCUGUUCAGCUCAACAACCUUGUAACAAGUUGUCAAUAAGCCGUUAACAAAUUGUCAUCAAGCUGGGAACAAGCAGUGCGAACACAUCCUGUUGACAAGUUGUUGGAACAGCAUUGCUACAAGUCUGCUGCAGGUUUGUUACAACUUGUGCGUUUUUACGUGUGUAAUCAAAUGAUUUUGUUUAUCUUACUUGUCAAGGACUCGGAUGAUUUCCUCUUUAUUAUCUGAGAGUCCAAAGUAAACCACGAGAGACGAGUUUAGCUCGUACGCCUGCAAGUGGAUUGUAAAAUUAAGCAAACAAGUUGUAACAAGAUUGUUGUGAAGCCGAUAUCAGGAUGUGUUCGCACUGCUUGUUCCCAGUUGUUGUGACAAGUCUGGAACAAGUUGUUAUCAUCUUGUUACAAGGUUGAUGACGGUAACAGACUUGCUACAAGUUGUUCCAACAAGACUAAUACAGGCUGUUCCUAAAGGCCUGAUUCCACAAGGCGGAAUAUUUCGACCGAAACGAAAUUUCUUUUUGUCUUUUUACAAUUAGUUCUGCUCGAGAGCUCAUGAAACAAAGAGAAAUUUCGAUUCGGUCGAAAAAAAAUUUCGCCUAGUGGAAAACCGCCUUUUAAGGAGUGGAAAACCGCCUUAAUAGGCGAAAUUUUUCGAUCGAACGGAAAUUUCUAUUGUUCAAAUUCAAAAGAUUUCUGUUUAGUUCCAUCUGAGUGCUCGUAAGACAAAAGAAAAUUUCGAUUCGGUCGAAAAAUUCCGCUUAGUGGAAAAACGCCUUAACAAGUUGCUACGAGCUUGUUGUCAUCAACUUAGACCCCGUUUACACGGUACCGGACGAAUUUGUGACCGGACGAAAAUUCGUCCGUUUCGUCCGUGUAAACACACGAGAACCACGAAACCUGACGAAUUUGAGACCCCCUAACAGGACGAAUUCGCGUGUAAACAGGCGAAAAAGGACGAAUUUUCGUCCGGUCCCAAAUUCGUCCGGUACCGUGUAAACGGGGUCUUAUUAACAACUUGUUACGUGCAGACGAUAUCAGACUUGUUGGAACAACUUGUUGCGAGUCUGUUGGCCUCGUCAACCUUGUUACAAGAUGAUAACAACUUAUUCCAGACUUGUCAACAAUUGGGAACAAGCAGUGCGAACACAUCUUGUUGACAAGCUGUGAGAUUUUUAAGGUGUAGCCUUAAGGAAGACAAUCAAACAUUGCAGACCAAACCAUUCUCGUCCCCAGAGCCAUUGAAAAUUCGUUGAAAAUUAGGCUCUGGGUUAGACGACCGAAGGGAGAGAUCUAAUUGGCUUCUCAGAGAACUGCUAUUUCGCAGAAGUUGAGAAAUUUUCGCUAGAAAAGAUUUUUCUAUCAAAAUAUGUCAACACAAAUACUUGGUUCCUUCGUAAUACUUGUCUGUGAAAAUUAUUACGGUUGCUGAAGCGUCCCAAUUCAAGAGCAUGCGCUUUAGAAACUACUGCAAGUUUUCUUGCGCUUCCGGUUCCGUGUAUUCCAGGGCCUAUGGAGUUCGCGCGCGGUCGUGAGGCCCUGAGAACGAGGAUGAGACCAAACUAAGCAGUCUUGUACCCAGUUCAUUCCGCGCCAUCGAUUGUCCCAUCAGACUUUCGUUUCAUCGAAAUGAAAGCACGAUAUCAUGACAGCGUUAUAAUGAAAGGAAAUGUGUGGGAUGAAAGAGUAAUAAAGUAUAAAUGAGAUUAAAUGUAUAGCACUGUCAUAACUAUCAAACAAUUAUAAAU
rnacentral:lncRNA from 1 species